rnacentral:rRNA from 1 species
GACGAACGCUGGCGGCGUGCCUAAUACAUGCAAGUAGAACGCUGAGGUUUGGUGUUUACACUAGACUGAUGAGUUGCGAACGGGUGGGUAACGCGUAGGUAACCUGCCUCAUAGCGGGGGAUAACUAUUGGAAACGAUAGCUAAUACCGCAUAAGAGUAAUUAACACAUGUUAGUUAUUUAAAAGGAGCAAUUGCUUCACUGUGAGAUGGACCUGCGUUGUAUUAGCUAGUUGGUGAGGUAAAGGCUCACCAAGGCGACGAUACAUAGCCGACCUGAGAGGGUGAUCGGCCACACUGGGACUGAGACACGGCCCAGACUCCUACGGGAGGCAGCAGUAGGGAAUCUUCGGCAAUGGACGGAAGUCUGACCGAGCAACGCCGCGUGAGUGAAGAAGGUUUUCGGAUCGUAAAGCUCUGUUGUUAGAGAAGGACGUUGGUAGGAGUGGAAAAUCUACCAAGUGACGGUAACUAACCAGAAAGGGACGGCUAACUACGUGCCAGCAGCCGCGGUAAUACGUAGGUCCCGAGCGUUGUCCGGAUUUAUUGGGCGUAAAGCAAGCGCAGGCGGUUCUUUAAGUCUGAAGUUAAAGGCAGUGGCUUAACCAUUGUACGCUUUGGAAACUGGAGGACUUGAGUGCAGAAGGGGAGAGUGGAAUUCCAUGUGUAGCGGUGAAAUGCGUAGAUAUAUGGAGGAACACCGGUGGCAAACGGCUCUCUGGUCUGUACUGACGUGAGC